AUUGAACGCUAGCGGCAUGCUUAACACAUGCAAGUCGAACGAGUGGCGGACGGGUGAGUAAUGUAUGGGAAACUGCCCGUUAGAGGGGGAUAACUACUGGAAACGGUCGCUAAUACCGCAUACCAUCGGAUGUGCCCAGAUGGGAUUAGCUAGUUGGGGGGGUAACGGCUCACCAAGGCGACGAUCCCUAGCUGGUGUGAGCGGAUGACCAGCCAAACUGGAACGGAGACACGGUCAGGACUCCUACGGAAGGCAGAAGGGGGGAAUAUUGGACAAUGGGGGCAAUCCUGAUGCAGACAUGCCGGGGGUAUGAGGCAGGCCUCCGGGUGGUAAAGUACUUUCAGCGGGGAGGCGUUACUCGCAGAAGAAGCAACGGCUAACUCCGUGCCAGCAGCCGCGGUAAUUC
rnacentral:rRNA from 1 species